rnacentral:lncRNA from 1 species
AACAAUCACCCAUCAAAGGCAGGAACCACCAGCAUCAACUGCCACUUGACUAUAUAAAAAUUAAUGUCCAGUCACUAAAGCAAGGACCACUGAAGGUGCUUUUUUGUAUUUUCUCUUCAUCUCAUCCCUCCUUUCCAGUUUCCAUCUUCCUUGUUUCCGCGAAGAAAACACCAUGUAUAGGCUUUUAAUUUGGUUUUAAAUUAAUUUACAAUUUUAUAUUUUAUCAAUUUUUAUUGAUAGAUUGAGUCUCCUGUUCAUACAAAAUGGAAGUUUUUUUUAUUAAAACUACAGAAGUUCUUGUCAAUUCAUUGCAUCUGUAUAAUAAACCAGUCAAAGAUUUCAACUGCUCAUCAAUUUUAUCCAUUUUAAUUACCAAUGAGUUUUACUCCUGGAAACCCUUUUAGAACACAAAACCUGGGAAAUCAUUCUUUUUGUAAUUUGACCAAUUUAUAAUUUAGAGUUGCAUAAUUAGCAGAGAGAACUUAUUUCUGUUAAUAAUCCGUGAUUAGCAAGUAUGAUUUUGUAACAUAACGGAAUUAUAUCAAGAAAUUUAAUCUAAACUAAGAUUAAUUUACAUAUAUAUGCAUAACAAUAAGAAGAAUGACGAUCCAAGACACAGAGCUCAAACAAAAGUUACAAGCCAUACCUAAAUCAAAGCUUUUAGUUAAACACAUCUAGCUCAAGACAUGAUUCAUGGAAAAGAUUUGAUUGAAACAUGCUCAUAAAACUCCCUUCCAUAGGCGGCAAAAAUCUAUCAAAAGGCUGGAAAACGGAAUCGGAACCAGGAGAUGAUGACUCAUUGUAAGAGCUCAUCUCAGGGACUAAAGAUCCAUGCUCAUCUACAGCUCUUCGGUCAAGAAUUUCAGGAGAGUUUUCAAAACCAUUAA